rnacentral:rRNA from 1 species
GAUGAACGCUGGCGGCGUGCCUAAUACAUGCAAGUCGAGCGAACGGACGAGACGCUUGCUUCUCUGAUGUUAGCGGCGGACGGGUGAGUCACACGUGGAUAACCUACCUAUAAGACUGGGAUAACUUCGGGAAACCGGAGCUAAUACCGGAUAAUAUUUUGAACCGCAUGGUUCAAAAGUGAAAGACGGUCUUGCUGUCACUUAUAGAUGGAUCCGCGCUGCAUUAGCUAGUUGGUAAGGUAACGGCUUACCAAGGCAACGAUGCAUAGCCGACCUGAGAGGGUGAUCGGCCACACUGGAACUGAGACACGGUCCAGGCGCCUACGGGAGGCAGCAGUAGGGAAUCGUCCGCAAUGGGCGAAAGCCUGACGGAGCAACGCCGCGUGAGUGAUGAAGGUCUUCGGAGCGUAAAACUCUGUUAUUAGGGAAGAACAUAUGUGUAAGUAACUGUGCACAUCUUGACGGUACCUAAUCAGAAAGCCACGGCUAACUACGUG